rnacentral:rRNA from 1 species
GUUGUCCGGAAUUAUUGGGCGUAAAGAGCUUGUAGGCGGUUUGUCGCGUCUGCUGUGAAAUUUCGGGGCUCAACCCCGAACUUGCAGUGGGUACGGGCAGACUAGAGUGUGGUAGGGGAGACUGGAAUUCCUGGUGUAGCGGUGAAAUGCGCAGAUAUCAGGAGGAACACCGAUGGCGAAGGCAGGUCUCUGGGCCAUAACUGACGCUGAGAAGCGAAAACAUGGGGAGCGAACAGG